rnacentral:tRNA from 2 species
GCGUUCGUAGCUCAGAUGGAUAGAGCGACGGACUUCGAAUCCGUAGGGCGCAGGUUCGAGUCCUGUCGGACGCA